CAAGUGGGUGACUUGUUGAUGUGCCCUGGCAGGUCCUGUCUGAUCUCAUCAACGGGGGGAAGAAGACUGGAAGACGGCGGGGCCCAGAGCCCACACAGAAGCAGAAACAAAGACUUAAAGGAGCCGCUGGCCUAACUCAGGAAGAGGAGACUGGGAUGUAGGCCCAUAUUUAGCUGGGGUUUCUGCCACCAAGGCAAGAUAAUCUCUAGGACAUGAAAAAUUGACAUCUCGUGGCCAACAAUACAUGAAAAGAUGCUCAACAACCCUAACCAUCAGGGAAAGGCAAAUCAAAACUACAAUGAGAC